CCCUUCUUCCUUUGGCUCUCCUCCCGGUUGCUUGUCCCGACCGCACUCAUCACCUCAGCACUACUGUAAGGCCUGCAGCUUUCAGCAACAAAUGUGAUAGAGCACUGUGGUGAGCAGAUUGACAAGAGCGGACAAGUACUGUCUGUGUGUAAAUGAUGCAGAUCCAAUUGGGAUGUUACCUCCAGCUCUGACAUUUAGAACAAUGUCUCAGAAAUUGCCUGAGCUGAAGUUCAAGUACGUGGAUGAGGAGCAGCCCGAGGAGUUCUUCAUCCCCUAUGUCUGGUCCCUUGUGUGCAAUGUGGCUGUGAUGCUCUACUUGAAACCAUGUGACAUCCAGCUCUUCACCAUGGACUCUGGUUGAAGGAAGUCAAACCAAAACCACACCACAUGCAAAUCUGUGACCCCUUCCAGUGCGUACUCUAAGAUCCCCCCACUUGCUGCCCACAUACAGCCCAACAUCCAUAUUUCAGAACGUCACAGACACACACCAACACCAUGGGGUGAGGAACUUGGAUGCAGCCUUGUAUUUAUUGUCCUAUAACUGGAGCAUAGUCUUAUGGCAAAGGUAACAACUACCCCAGGGUGCUGUGCUUUAAAACAUUGUGAGAAAUCAGACCUAGGCUGACAGGUGGGGAUGGGAUGGGGGAACCCCACAGCAUGUCGUGACAUGAUGUGUUGCUCUGCCUGUUACUCAAUGCAACCUGCUGGGAGAAAAAAGUAUAUAUAAUAAAGAAAUAGAUAGAACUGUGUUUUUUGUUUUUUGGUGUUUUUUUUUUUUUUUUUUUUUUCCAAGAAGUCUCCCCUGGAAAACCUGUCUCAGCCUUGGAGUCACUUAGAGGGCUUUUGAGCUAAUUCACAUGUGUUUGCUAGGAAGCUGUGGGUCACUUUACCCAAAUGACACCUGCUCAUUAUAUUACUUCCAUUAUGAUAUUUGUGCCCACGAAUGAGAGUGUUAUCGCUUUCCUUAACAGCGGCCACUGUUAAAUAUGGAAAUAUAAGGUUGAUCCAAAUAGAAGAGAGAAAAGUGACAAUCAUACAUUUAAACAAAUUACCACCCUCAACAACACAAAGCAUAGUACUAUUGCAACCAAAAUGCAAAAUGUAACAGCACACAAUAUCAACUUGCCACAGACACCACCCUGGGUACACUGAGAUAAAGCAAAUUAGUAACGACU